rnacentral:rRNA from 1 species
UACGAAGGGGGCUAGCGUUGUUCGGAAUUACUGGGCGUAAAGCGCGCGUAGGCGGACAUUUAAGUCAGGCGUGAAAGUCCUGGGCUCAACCUGGGAACUGCGCUUGAUACGGCAGAGCUAGAGGAUGGAAGAGGCUCGCGGAAUUCCCAGUGUAGAGGUGAAAUUCGUAGAUAUUGGGAAGAACACCGGUGGCGAAGGCGGCGAGCUGGUCCAUUACUGACGCUGAGGCGCGACAGCGUGGGGGAGCAAACAGG